UACGUAGGGUGCGAGCGUUAAUCGGAAUUACUGGGCGUAAAGCGUGCGCAGGCGGGCUUUUAAGCCAGACGUGAAAUCCCCGGGCUUAACCUGGGAAUGGCGUUUGGGACUGGAAGUCUGGAGUGCGGCAGAGGAGACUGGAAUUCCUGGUGUAGCAGUGAAAUGCGUAGAUAUCAGGAGGAACACCGAUGGCGAAGGCAGGUCUCUGGGCUGACACUGACGCUCAUGCACGGAAGCGUGGGGAGCAAACAGG
rnacentral:rRNA from 1 species